CAGAGUUUGAUCCUGCUCAGGAUAAACGCUGGCGGCGCACAUAAGACAUGCAAGUCGAACGAACGUUAACCAUUAGUUUACUAUUGGAGCGGUUAGUGGCGGACUGGUGAGUAACACGUAAGCAACCUGCCUAUCAGAGGGGAACAACAGUUAGAAAUGACUGCUAAUACCGCAUAUGCCUUAGAAUCACGAUGGUUCGAAAGGGAAAGGAGCAAUCCGCUGAUAGAUGGGCUUGCGUCUGA
rnacentral:rRNA from 1 species